rnacentral:lncRNA from 1 species
CAACCAGUUCCCAAGGCCCUCUGUGAUCCAGUCUCUGCCAACCUUACUGGCCCUCACCACCUCUGCUCUCCCAGCUCCCUGCGCUCUAGCCACACUGACCUCUUCCCGUUCCUAGAAUUGAUUUAGCUCAGUCCCACCUCAGGGCCUUUGCACAUGUGUCCCCUCUACCUGGAGAACAACUGGCCCUUAUUUUUGCUAGUUAAUUCCUACUUAUCUUCCUAAUUGCAGCUUGAAGAAUACUUCCUCAGAGCAGCCUUCACACUUUCCUACACCAUCACAUAAAUCAGCCAUACGGACAGGUGUUCACCUAAGUCUAUCCCUACCUCCCCCACUUCCCAUACACUUGCAUUUCAGCUCCAAGAGGGCAGGAAUGAUGUUCAUGUAUCUUGCCAAAAGCAUAAUAGUGAUUAAAAGUGGAGGCUUUAGAGCCCAACUGCAUGGGUUUAAAUCUCAGCCAUGCCACACACUAGCAGAGUGACCUUGAGCAAGUUUCUUAACCUCUCUGUGCCCUACUUUCCUCAUCUGUAUAAAGGUAAGAAUAAAAUCUACUUCAUAAGAUUAUUAUAAGGAUUAGAUGAGUUAAAUGUAUAUUAAAAGCUUCACAUAGCACCUCAUAUAAUAUGUGUUAUAUAUGUAUUUGAAAUAAUAAUAAUAAUUAGUAUUAUUAUUAUUGUUACCUUCACAUUCCCAGUACCUAACAAAUGCUGGCACAUAGUAGGUACACACACAAAAAAAUGCUUGUUGAAUAGAUAAGUGAUUGUUUAUUUCUCUCACUCAAGGCAGAGAUAAUUGUGCCUUUUUGUUUCUUUAUUCCCAUUAUAGGAACAGGACUUGGUGCAUAGUAGUUCUGCAAUAAAUGGGGAUUGACUCAGUGCCUGAAAGUGAAAUGAUUCCUCCCCAAGCCAUGUGGACUCCCAAUAUUGCUAUCUGCUUUGAGCCUUCCCCCUUCCUUUUUGAAUCCAGGAUGUGGCUGGUGAGUCAGGAAGAAAAGGGUGCCUCAUUAUUUGUUCCUUGCUUGCUCUUGGAAAUAUCAAGAAUACUUGGCCCUCAAGACAAACCCCAGCUCUGGGCCUAAAAGCUAAGUCCAGAUAUGUUAUAUAUUUAUUCAAGGCAGCAAUUGGCCAGGAAACGACUAUAAAACACACAUUUUGAAUAAAAGAGGGAGAUUUAUGGUGCAAUGGCGAAUCUGAGUCAUAUCUCUCUGCCUCCCCCAGGCCAGGAUCCCUUAAUCACUAACAUACCCCCAGCUUGUACACUCGGUGGGCACAGAAUUGCUUCCUUCUGGUCCUGUCCCUGCUAAAGAUGUGAUGGGGAUUGUGCUA